CCUACGGGAGGCAGCAGUGAGGAAUAUUGGUCAAUGGACGAGAGUCUGAACCAGCCAAGUAGCGUGAAGGAUGACUGCCCUAUGGGUUGUAAACUUCUUUUAUCAAGGAAUAAUACAGUGCACGUGUGCCUUUUUCCAUGGACUUUAUGAAUAAGGAUCGGCUAACUCCGUGCCAGCAGCCGCGGUAAUACGGAGGAUGCGAGCGUUAUCCGGAUUUAUUGGGUUUAAAGGGUGCGUAGGCGGGCUUUUAAGUCAGCGGUAAAAAUUCGGGGCUCAACCCCGUCCGGCCGUUGAAACUGGGGGGCUUGAGUGGGCGAGAAGAAGGCGGAAUGCGUGGUGUAGCGGUGAAAUGCAUAGAUAUCACGCAGAACCCCGAUUGCGAAGGCAGCCUUCCGGCGCCCUACUGACGCUGAGGCACGAAAGUGCGGGGAUCGAACAGGAUUAGAUACCCCAGUAGUC
rnacentral:rRNA from 1 species